AAAAAAAAAAAGCAAGCGAUCUUGCCGCACAGGCGAGGGGAAGGGGAUCGGCGCUGGAGGGUGAGGGGAACAGCCGGGUCGGUCAGGCUGCCGGCGGGCAGCCGCAGCGGCGAAGGGCCCACCGCCCUCCCAGCGUGCUCUGCGCGCGGGGGUGGCGCCGUGCCCGGCCUGCCGGCUCGUUUCGGCGGGCGCGGAGAGGGGGAAGCGCCCCUCAAGCACCCCGAACCGCAGCCUCGGUUCGUUCUCCUUAGCUUUCAGGGGCUCGGAGUAGGCAUCCCUAACGCCGUCGAUGCAUUAGUAUCGAUUUGAAGAGCACAAGUUUAGCGGUGCGUGUUACUAGCACCCUCCACCCGCCCGUGCCGCUGGAGGGAUGUGACGAUUUCACAGAUGACAGAAACCCUCCGGCAGGAACUGCCAGGGCUUUCUGUCCAGGAGCUGGAUGCUGGGAUACAGAGCAUGUGGCUACAGAAAUGUCUCAGCAGUUGGGAAUGGAGGUUAAAGGGCUUUUUUUGCAUUUCUUCCAAAUACGUUUAGCUGGAAAAGCCACACGAGCAGAAAGGCAACAGCAGUGGUGUAACAAAGCCUCUGGGCGCCCUAAGAGAUUCCUUCUGGAGCUAUAGUUGAUAUGCUAGUCCUCUAAAUGGAAGCAGAGCUCCCACACACUGUGGAGGGAAGAAGAAUUUUUCUUGCUAGAAGGAGAAGAUAAGAUUUAGUAGAAGCCCUCCCAGGGCCCUGAGGAGAAGCUGCAAGAAGGGGAAGACCUGUGGUCACUCCUUGCUUGUGAGGGCUCCAGCUGAACUCCUUAGAGUCACUGCCCUCUCCUGCUCACCUUGUCUUGCUGCCAGAGCAAAGGUGCAUUUUGGAAACUUCUUCAAAUGGCUGGAAUACCUGUAUCUGUUUGAGCUCCUUCAGAAAACCUGGCUGAUUACCCUCCUGUUUUGUCAUUUGCUGCUCUUCCUUUCACUGAUUUCUUCUAUGUUCUGAUUUAUUAACAUGUCUAUUCAAGACAAAGUCUGCGAUAGCUACACUGCAAAGUUUUCUGCCUAGGAAAUUUCCAACAAGCCUCCAGAUGAGGAACUCCCUCUGAGGAACUGAAGGAGUUAAUGCCUCAAACAUUCAUCAAAGGAACAAACUGUUUGCCUAAGGAAGCACAGAACACCUUGAAGGGUGCACGGCUCCACUUCCUUGAAGUUGUAUUGCUGAGUUAUCAAAUGUGCUGCCCUGAUCUUCUGAGGAAGACUGCUAAACAUUGGCUCUGUUGUAUAAGCCCGAUACUUGGCAUAAAUGAUGCAGGCCUUGCUAAGGACUAUACCCUUGAAGAAGAGCUAAAAGACAAAUAAGAGGGAACAACCAGCACCAGAUGGAGCCAAAGACUGGAUGGUUGCCCAAGGAGCAAGAACUGGGGAAAAGGUAAAGGUGGUAGGGGCAGAUCACAAUCACCAACUCAACUGGAUGAAAGGGUUAAUGCGCCCUGUCCCCCCUCAACACAUGCACAGAAAACCAUGAUCCACCUUUUCCUCGACUCUCAUGCGAAUGAGUUUGUAGAGAACCUGCCUCUCUUUGUCUAAUAGGCAAAUCAGCAGAUAAGACAAACUUAAAAAUUGACAAAGAAUGUUGCUGGGUGUGCACCCACCACCCAGGAUUACCGGACCCUAAGGCAACGCUGAAACCUGGGAUGGUGAUCCAGAUUCUUUGACUCUCUUUCUCUCCUUACAUUUCCUUUCUUUUCUUUCUUACAGAUUUUUCAGUAAGGGGCCACAUCGCUCACUAUUCUUUCCAAGUUUGUUUCUACAGCAAGUAAAACAUUUUAACUGGU